rnacentral:rRNA from 1 species
GACGAACGCUGGCGGCGUGCCUAAUACAUGCAAGUCGAACGCAGUGGGGACGGGUGAGUAACACGUGGGUAACCUCCCAUCAGAGGGGAUAACACUUGGAAACAGGUGCUAAACCGAUACUGAUGUAAGGACACGCGGUGCUUUAGCUCGUUGGUGAGGUAACGGCUCACCACUGCCACGAUGCAUAGCCGACGUGAGAGGGUGCGCGGCCACACGGGGAAUGAGAAAGGGCCCAGGCUCCUACUGGAGGCAGCAGUAGGGAAUCUUCGGCAAUGGACGAAAGUCUGACCGAGCAACGCCGGGUGAGUGAAGAAGGUUUUCGGAUCGUAGAACUCUGUUGUUAGGGCAGCGGUAUCUAACCAGGAAGCCCCGGCUAACUACGUGCCAGCAGCCGCGGUAAUAC